rnacentral:rRNA from 1 species
CCUAAUACAUGCAAGUCGAGCGCAGGAAGCUCACGGAACUCUUCGGAGGGAAGUGAAGGGAAUGAGCGGCGGACGGGUGAGUAACACGUAAGGAACCUGCCCCAAGGAUUGGGAUAACUCCGAGAAAUCGGAGCUAAUACCGAAUAGUUCUUCAGACCGCAUGGUCUGAUGAUGAAAGGCGCUYCGGCGUCACCUUGGGAUGGCCUUGCGGUGCAUUAGCUAGUUGGUGGGGUAAUGGCCCACCAAGGCGACGAUGCAUAGCCGACCUGAGAGGGUGAUCGGCCACACUGGGACUGAGACACGGCCCAGACUCCUACGGGAGGCAGCAGUAGGGAAUCUUCCACAAUGGACGAAAGUCUGAUGGAGCAACGCCGCGUGAGUGAUGAAGGUUUUCGGAUCGUAAAACUCUGUUGUAAGGGAAGAACAAGUAC